AUACUUACCUGGUAAGGGAGAUACCAUAAUUACGAAGGCGGUUUUCCCAGGUUGAGGCUUAUCCAUUGCACUCCAGAUGUGCUGACCCAUGCAAUUUCCCCAAAUGUGAGAAAUUCAACGGCAUCAUUUGUGGUAGUGAGGGUCUGCAUUUGCUCUCUCACC